GUUACGAUAGCUCAAGUGGUAGAGUAGCGGCGUGUCGAGCCGAAGAUCGUGGGUUCGAAUCCCGCUCGUGACA
rnacentral:tRNA from 1 species